rnacentral:rRNA from 1 species
GACGAACGCUGGCGGCGUGCCUAAUACAUGCAAGUAGGACGCAGUUGCGAACGUGUGAGUAACGCGUAGGUAACUACCUAUUAGAGGGGGAUAACUAUUGGAAACGAUAGCUAAUACCGCAUACUAGUAGAUGGACCUGCGUUGUAGUAGCUAGUAGGUAGGGUAAUGCCCUACCUAGGCAACGAUACAUAGUCGACCGGAGAGGGUGAUCGGCCACACUGGGACUGAGACACGGCCCAGACUCCUACGGGAGGCAGCAGUGGGGAAUCUUCGGCAAUGGGGGGAAGCCUGACGGAGCAACGCCGCGUGAGUGAAGAAGGUUUUCGGGUCUUAAAGCACUGUUGUAAGAGAGGCGGUAUCUUAACAAAAAGCAACGGCUAACUACGUGCCAGCAGCCGCGGUAAUUC